rnacentral:rRNA from 1 species
CCUACGGGUGGCUGCAGUGGGGAAUAUUGCACAAUGGGGGAAACCCUGAUGCAGCGACGCCGCGUGAGUGAAGCAGUAAUUCGUUAUGUAAAGCUCUAUCAGCAGGGAAGCAAAUGACGGUACCUGAGUAAGAAGCACCGUCUAACUACGUGCCAGCAGCCGCGGUAAUACGUAGGGGGCAAGCGUUAUCCGGAUUGACUGGGUGUAAAGGGAGCGUAGACGGCAUUGCAAGUCUGGAGUGAAAGGCGGGGGCUCAACCCCCGGACUGCAGUGGAAACUGUACGUCUGGAGUGCAGGAGAGGUAAGGGGAAUUCCUGGGGUAGCGGUAAAAGGCGUAGAUAUUAGGAGGAACACCAAUUGCGAAGGCGGCUUACUGGACUGUAACUGACGUUGAGGCUCGAAAGCGUGGGGAGCAAACAGGAUUAGAUACCCGAGUAGUC